GGGUUGUUGAAAGGGAAACGAUUGAAGUCAGUCGUACCGACGAGAAAUCAACUUAUCGUGUGCGAACUUGUGGGCGUGCGUGAGUUUCGGCCUCGCUGUUUGCAUGUUUGUGCGUUUUGGGUGUACUUUUUCGUAUGGUAGGCCAACGUCAGUUUCGAUUAUCAUAAAAUGACCGGCGGAAUGUAGCUUCGAUUUCGGUUGAAGUGUUAUAGCCUCUGGUAGAUGUGGUGAUUGAGACUGAGGAUUGCAACGAAUACCCUUUGGGCUAUCCGUCUGGCCUCUGAAAGUUGCUCAGGUGCCGAAA
rnacentral:rRNA from 1 species